GUCCUUUGCACUCCUGGAGAAUAAAAGAGCUGCACGUUCCAGUAGCAGUCACUGCCCUUUCGCAUAGCCCCAUCCCAGAGAAAGAAGAGAGGGGAAGCGCAGAGAGUAUUUCUAAGUAAGAUGAAAACUCUCCUUCUGAUCUGUGCUAUCUUGGCAGUAGCUGUUGGUCUCCCAGUCUCUCAAGACCAAGAUCGAGAAAAACAAAGUAUCAGUGACAGCGAUGAAUUUGCUCAACAGUUUUAUUUGCCUCCUUACCAGUACCCAUCUGGCCAAUAUCCACCAAUCCUAAACCAAGCAUAUCCAGGCUAUAUAUUUUAUUUAUUUCCUACUCCAAUACCUCAGUCUAGAAUUGUAACUCCUCCUCCUAAUGGAAAAUAAGAGACAAAAGUCCCACUGCAACUUAACAUGAAACAAACAAUUGCUGAAAAAUGAAUGUGAGCUACUUCCUUGAAGCAUCAAUAAUCCUGCUAUAAAAGAAAAAUAAAUAUAAUUGAAGCAUCAAA